UACGUAUGGUGCAAGCGUUAUCCGGAUUUACUGGGUGUAAAGGGAGCGCAGGCGGCGCGUUAAGCCUGGUGUGAAAGCCCGCGGCCCAACCGCGGGACUGCAUUGGGAACUGGCGCGCUGGAGUGCCGGAGGGGUAGGCGGAGUUCCUAGUGUAGCGGUGAAAUGCGUAGAUAUUAGGAGGAACACCAGUGGCGAAGGCGGCCUACUGGACGGUGACUGACGCUGAGGCUCGAAAGCGUGGGGAGCAAACAGG
rnacentral:rRNA from 1 species